rnacentral:rRNA from 1 species
UGGGCAACCUGCCCCUCUCUCUGGGAUAACCCCCGGGAAACCGGAGCUAAUACCGGAUACUCCGGCUGGAUCGCAUGGUCCGGCCGGGAAAGGUCCGCCGGAGAGGGAUGGGCCCGCGGCCUAUCAGCUUGUUGGUGGGGUCAUGGCCCACCAAGGCGACGACGGGUAGCCGGCCUGAGAGGGCGACCGGCCACACUGGGACUGAGACACGGCCCAGACUCCUACGGGAGCA